rnacentral:rRNA from 1 species
AUUGAACGCUGGCGGCAGGCUUAACACAUGCAAGUCGAACGGACGAAGCUAGCUUGCUUCUGGUUACUGCGGCGGACGGGUGUGUAAUUCCUGGGAAUCUGCUUGUUUUUGGGGGUUUACGUCCGGAAGCGGGCGCUAAUACGGCAUACGUUCAUAGGCCGAAUGUGGGGGAUCUUUGGAUCUCUGGCUAUCAUAUGAUCCUAGGUGCGGUUAGCUAGUUGGUGGGUUAACGGUCUACCAGGGCGACGAUCCGUAACUUGUCUGUGCGUAUGAUUAGUCACGCUGGAACUGAGACGCGGUCCUGGCUGCUUCGUGAUGGCGCAGUGGGGAAUAUUGGACAAUGGGCGAAAGCCUGACCCAGCCAAGCCUCGUGUGUGGAGAAAGUCUUCGGAUUGUAAAGCCCGUUUACUUGGGAAGAAGGGCAGUAAGUUGCUACCACGCUGUAUUGACGGUACCGACAGAAUAAGCACCGGCUAACUACGUG